rnacentral:rRNA from 1 species
GACGAACCGAGCGAACGUUGUUCGGAAUCACUGGGCUUAAAGGGCGCGUAGGCGGGUGCUCAAGUCUGUGGUGAAAUCCUCCGGCUCAACCGGAGAACUGCCAUGGAUACUGGGUGCCUCGAGGGUGGUAGGGGUAUGCGGAACUAUCGGUGGAGCGGUGAAAUGCGUUGAUAUCGAUAGGAACUCCGGUGGCGAAGGCGGCAUACUGGACCACUUCUGACGCUGAGGCGCGAAAGCCAGGGGGAGCAAACGGG